UUUUCUAUUAAUUAACUCAUCAUUUAUGUGUAUUAGGGACUCCGUUGCAUGAGUACAAGAUCUCCCUUAGCCUAAUCUAGGCUUAAUACCUUAUUAUAGCAUGAAAUCCCCUAUUUUCCACCCGGAUGAACAGUAACCCGGACCGACAGCCGGUUACUUCAUCCCGGGUUUGAUCCACUUUUCAGACUCCAAAUUUGUUGAAAUUUUUACCUAACAUUUUACACUCAUAGAAGAUUCCAAAGAGAUAACAUACAUCAUCAUCGGAGGCCGUUUGACCCCCUAAAUAAUUCACCGAAGUUGGAACUUCGGCACAGUUUUUCCGUAGUGCCGGAAAAAUUUGUCAAAAUCCGAUUCUUCCUCUUUUAACCGCCUCUACAACCCUUAUCCGACCCCUCUAGACUAUAUCCACCCUUUGUAUAGCCUAAUGUCAUCAAAAGACUAGAUAGGGACGGAUAUUUACCUUUUUCUUUUUGAAAAUCGAGGUCCUUGCGUAGAGGGGAAGGAGAUCUACGUUUUUUUCUUCAGCUGGAAGUGCAACCGGGAUCCCUUUCCUCCUUGAAUCCCCUUCCUCUUCUUCUUUCUUCUUCUUCUUCUUCUCUUUUUCUUUCUUUCUUUCCUCUGUUUCAUGCCUGAGAACCCCCUCCCUCUUUCUCUCGGUUUCAUUCCAAAAGCCAGCUCAAACCCUCCA
rnacentral:lncRNA from 1 species